AAACACAUUCUCAUCAUCACAACAACAACAAACCAAACAACAAAAGAUUCGAACUUUGAUCAAACAAAGAAGAAACAGAAUGUUGGCAAUAUUUCAGAAAGCGUUUGCUCACCCACCGGAGGAGCUCAACAGCCCGGCGUCUCAUUUCUCCGGCAAAACCCCAAAACUUCCCGGAGAUACUCUCUCCGACUUCCUCUCCCUCCACAAGGACACCGCUUUCUCCAUGAACUUUGGAGACUCUGCCGUCUUAGCUUACUCCCGCCCUAACAAUUCUCUUCGCCAGAGGUUGUUCUGUGGGAUAGACGGAGUGUACUGUAUGUUUCUUGGGAGGUUAAGCAAUCUCUGCACGUUGAACCGACAGUACGGGCUCACGGGGAAGAACACGAACGAGGCCAUCUAGAAGCUUACAGAACACUACGUGAUCGUGGUCCUUACCCUGCAGAUCAAGUCCUUAGAGGUUUAGAAGGAAGCUACGCCUUUGUCGUCUACGAUACUCAAACCUCCUCUGUUUUCUCAGCUUUGAGCUCUGAUGGAGGAGAGAGUCUUUACUGGGGAAUCUCCGAGGAUGACGGGUCUGUUUUGAUGUCUGAUGAUGUGAAGAUUAUUAAGCAAGGAUGUGCCAAGUCAUUUGCUCCUUUCCCUACUGGGUGUAUGUUUCACAGUGAGACGGGGCUUAAGAGCUUUGAGCAUCCGAAGAACAAGAUGAAGGCGAUGCAGAGGAUUGACAGUGAAGGUGUGAUAUGUGGAGCUAACUUCAAAGUGGAUGCUUGUAGUAAGGUCAAUGCCAUUCCUAGGAGAGGAAGUGAAGCUAACUGGGCUCUCGCUAAUUCAAGUUAAUCUCUUCUUUUUUUAUUCAGUUGUUGAGUUGGUUCUUUUGUCUUUGUUGCAUUUUAUUUUUUACCUACUUCUUUUGUGUAAAUAGCAUCUUUAGUGUUACAUCAAUGAAGAAGCAAAAGCACUUUAUAUUGCAAAUAAAACAGUACACAAUUUUGAUGCAUAA